GGGGGCGCAACGGAUUCGACGGGAUAGAAUCGUUGUGGAGAGGCGUGCCGGGUUCCGAGCUCCCGUUAAACGAUCGGAAAAACAAAACUGCCAAUACGCAGUUUGCAUACGCUGCUUAAGUAAUUAAGCAGCCGCUCCAGCCACUGAGCCCGCGCGGCGGUGAGUGAGCGUCAUUUUGCGGGAUAGGCCGAGAGCUUCGGUCCGGAGCUGCAGGCCGAGAUCCAAUCGGACUAGGUGACAACCGCUCUUGCCGGUUCUGAGGUUGCUAUCGAAAAUUUCGAAUCGGAUACGCAUCGUAGGCUCUUCACGGCGGGCUUUCUCGGACGCGGGUUCGACUCCCGCCGCCUCCACCA
rnacentral:tmRNA from 1 species